CUCUGAAUACUCAACUGCAACGGUUUCUAAAAUGGGGAGUGGACAGGGAGUAGAAAAGGAUUUUUUUCUUCGGCCCCAGGCCGUGGCUGCUUCCUUAGCUGCCAAGAGCCCAGGGCCUCGGACCAGAGCGCAAGUUGCGGCCAACCCCUCCCGCCGCGCCCCAUUGUAAGAGCGGCCAGCGCUGGGCGGAGGCUGGUGCCGGCCCCCCGCGGCUCCGCGCGGCUCCCAGCGGCUCCCAGCUCCAAAGGGGGCAGGGCUGGAUCCUGUACAGCCGCUUGCCCGGUCCUGUGUCUGGACUGUGCAGUCUGCACGGGUGGUUUCCUGGAUGGCCAAAGUUAGGCCACCUGAAAGAAAAAGACAUCCAAAACCCAGCAAACAAGCAGAAUGUACUCAGGCCUGUAGUCAAGGACUAAAGUUUUGGUAUCAGAACUAUUCCAGGCCAGUUGGAAGUCUGGUUCUGUGGGGUCAUUAAAAUACAGCGUUAAACUGGAGGAGUUGCUGACAGAUUCAAAGAAGUUGGUGACUUAAUGGAAGUAUGCCUUCUCUAACCAAGUCCAUCACCAUCAUCUACUACCAUUCUGAAGGCCUGCUAUGUCAGAACACUUAGUAAACUGUAUUAAACCAGUAGAAUUUUAUAAGUUAUAGAAUCAGUGGAUUCUUUCCUUGAAAUUCUAUUAUUUGGAUUU
rnacentral:lncRNA from 1 species